rnacentral:tRNA from 1 species
CUCUGAGUGGUACAAACAGUUAAUGUACUUGGCUGCUAACCAAAAGGUUGGUGGUUCGAAUCCACCCAGAGG